rnacentral:rRNA from 1 species
GACGAACGCUGGCGGCGUGCUUAACACAUGCAAGUCGAACGGAAAGGCCCUGCUUUUGUGGGGUGCUCGAGUGGCGAACGGGUGAGUAACACGUGAGUAACCUGCCCUUGACUUUGGGAUAACUUCAGGAAACUGGGGCUAAUACCGGAUAGGAGCUCCUGCUGCAUGGUGGGGGUUGGAAAGUUUCGGCGGUUGGGGAUGGACUCGCGGCUUAUCAGCUUGUUGGUGGGGUAGUGGCUUACCAAGGCUUUGACGGGUAGCCGGCCUGAGAGGGUGACCGGCCACGUGGGCACGCAGACACCGCCCAGUCUGCUGGGGUCGGAGGCAGUGGGGAAUAUGGCCCAGUGGGCGGACGCCUGCUGCAGCAGCGCGGGGUGCGGGAUGAGGGCUUGGUUGGUGUCAGCCGCUGCCGGCGGGAGCGGAGCGUGGGUGGCGUUAAUGCGUAAGGAAGCAGCGGCUAACUAGGUGCCAGCGCUGCGGGAAUGAUCGAAGGGCACACUUCUGAUC